AUGGUAGAAGAUCAAAUUCCAGCACUGGGACUCCUUGAUAAAGGUCCAUAUGCUGGGAAUGGAAUAAUGACCACACUGCACAAUUACUGGCAAGAGGUCUGUGAGCGUCAGCACAGAGCUCUUCUGCGCAACCUUGCGCUCCGAAAGGAUAUGGAGCUUGUGGAGGCUCGGCUAGCUGUUCUUGCAGAACGUAUUUCGACCCUACGACAGCAAGAUGCUCCAGCUCAGACAUUUGCUGCUUCUCUUUUGCAACCCAACGUCAUCCCUCAAGAUUUCUGUUCAGGAUUCCAUAACAACUUUAAUGCUACUGUGUUGCCUGCUGGAGACAAUGAGUUAUGGACCCUUGAUGAGAAACAGCUUGAAUCGAUAAACGUGAAAAGUUGGAUCAAAACCGAUGGAUCGUAUGCGGAGCAGGAAGAAGAUGAAAGUUUCAGAAACCUGUGUGGACAAGGUCUUUCUACAUCAUUGAGUAGCAACAAUGAAGAUGUAAAGCUUCACUCACUGGAACGAGAAGUUUGUGGCACCAUCUACAUAUUGAACUGCUCAUCCCGUAUUUACGAGUGGUUUCUCGAGGUAGAGGCUUUCAGAAAUGUGAGUGAGCUAGUGCACAUAAGUGGUAAAGCAAAGAAGAGAGUGGAGAGAAGAGUUGUUUUACAUUUGAUUUGUACAUUACCGUAUCGCUGUGUUGCUUUGUAUUUAUCCUUUCAAUAAACUACUUUUGACUAUGCCUGAAUACUGGUUGGACAUCCAUUGAUUAUAUAUUAAAAAAAUAACCUCAAGCGCUUUGAUAUGCAGAGUUAAAGGAGGAAGACAUUAACCAGGCUUGACCUGUUAUUAUGAAAUGUAAACUCUUAAUGACAAGAGAAAGUAUUGCUACUUUAUAGUGUGACAUUCUUAACUUUUUCACAUUAAUUCAGAAUUUUAAACUCUGUUUACUUUGUCACCAAAGGUGGACGGAGGUUAUGUUUUCACCCCUGUCUGUUUGUCUGUUUAUCUGUGAGCAGGAUAUCUUAAGAAUUUAUGGUGGACAGGUUGGGUGUGUUUCAAGGACAAAUUGAUUAGAUUUUGGUGAAGAACCAGAUCCAGAUCUGGAUACGAGAAUUUUUGAGUGAUUCUUUACCAUUGAGAGAUGGGGCUAAAAACAGUGUAUAGCCUAAUUGAGAGAUGGGUCAGGUGAUGCCCAUCCUGCUUCCAGGGGAAUUAGUGCAUUGCGUUCCUCUAAGCCCAUCCCUCGGUGUACUGCAGUUAGAGGG
rnacentral:lncRNA from 1 species